UUUAGGUAGGUAUCUGGUUCAGAAGGUUACUGAAACUCAGGUUUGUUUGUUUUCUGUAAGGAGAGGAGGGCCAGAGAGGAGAGAGGCAUAAAGCCUUAGAUGAAGAAGGAACUCGAAAGACAACAGCAGCUGCUGACAUAAGGAUCUAAAGGUCCUGUCCAACUGGAGCAUAACCGUCUUGUUUGUAUUAAACAGAAAAAGGGAGGAAAGAAAAUGAAUCCUAGACGAUCAUCAAAACCCCUAGCCAAUUGAAAUAUCUAUGCCCAUGCAAUUGAGGUUUUUACUUGUGGUUUGGAAUUGACAGCAUCAUUUAAAAGUAAUCAACGUUUAGAAACAUUCUGCUCUGCCAAAGAUGGAAGGAACACUGAACUUCAUGGAAGAAAACAUUCCUCAGCCCUCAAACAAUCCUUGCAUAUCUUCAGAACUGAGACGGAUGGACAAUGCAACCACUGUGAGCUGCUGACAGUUUUCCUGAGGUGAUCUUCCCCUAGCCCUCUUGACAUUAAAAGCAACUAAACUGCCGCUUUUCUCCUGGCCAGUGCAUUCCUCUCUUGGAACUUCCCUGCUGCUUACGUGCAGUAUCAGUG
rnacentral:lncRNA from 1 species